rnacentral:rRNA from 1 species
UAAUACGGAGGAUGCAAGCGUUAUCCGGAUUUAUUGGGUUUAAAGGGUGCGCAGGCGGGAAAAUAAGUCAGUGGUGAAAUCCUGCAGCUUAACUGUAGAAUUGCCGUUGAUACUGUUUUUCUUGAGUGUGGUCAAGGAAGGCGGAAUGUGUAAUGUAGCGGUGAAAUGCUUAGAUAUUACACAGAACACCAAUUGCGAAGGCAGCUUUCUGGGCCGUAACUGACGCUCAUGCACGAAAGCGUGGGGAUCGAACAGG